GGAGCCUGAGAAACGGCUACCACUUCUAAGGAAGGCAGCAGGCACGCAAAUUACCCAAUCCCGGCACGGGGAGGUAGUGACGAUAAAUACGGAUACGGGACUCAAAAGAGGCUCCGUAAUUCGAAUGAGUACAAUUUAAAUCCUUUAACGAGGACCAACUGGAGGGCAAGUCUGGUGCCAGCAGCCGCGGUAACUCCAGCUCCAGAAGCGUAUAUUAAAGUUGUUGCAGUUAAAAAGCUCGUAGUUGGAUCUGGGUCGCAUGGCUACGCGCCGUUGCUUGUGAUCUCGGUUUGGUUACGACCGGAUUGAGUUCAUGAGUCGGUGUAGUGGUUGUGCAGCCUUUCUGCCGUGUCUGUUUUACAGGUGCUGGCGGAUUGUUGGGUUCGCCCUUCAGUCUGUCGGCAUGCUUCCGAAUGCCUUUAAACGGGUGUUGGGGGCGGACGGCACGUUUACUUUGAACAAAUUUGAGUGCUCAAAGCAGGCCCUUGUGCCUGAAAAGUCUUGCAUGGAAUAAUGGAAUAGGACUUCGGUUCUAUUUUGUUGGUUUUCGGAUCCGAAGUAAUGGUUAAGAGGGACAGACGGGGGC
rnacentral:rRNA from 1 species